rnacentral:rRNA from 1 species
AUUGAACGCUGGCGGCAGGCCUAACACAUGCAAGUCGAGCGGAUGAAGGGAGCUUGCUCCUGGAUUCAGCGGCGGACGGGUGAGUAAUGCCUAGGAAUCUGCCUGGUAGUGGGGGAUAACGUCCGGAAACGGACGCUAAUACCGCAUACGUCCUGAGGGAGAAAGUGGGGGAUCUUCGGACCUCACGCUAUCAGAUGAGCCUAGGUCGGAUUAGCUAGUUGGUGGGGUAAAGGCCUACCAAGGCGACGAUCCGUAAUUGGUCUGAGAGGAUGAUCAGACACACUGGAACUGAGACACGGUCCAGACUCCUACGGGAGGCAGCAGUGGGGAAUAUUGGACAAUGGGCGAAAGCCUGAUCCAGCCAUGCCGCGUGUGUGAAGAAGGUCUUCGGAUUGUAAAGCACUUUAAGUUGGGAGGAAGGGCAGUAAGUUAAUACCUUGCUGUUUUGACGUUACCAACAGAAUAAGCACCGGCUAACUUCGUG